UCCAGACUCCUACGGGAGGCAGCAGUGGGGGAUAUUGCACAAUGGGGGAAACCCUGAUGCAGCGACGCCGCGUGUGGGAAGACAGUCUUCUGGAUUGUAAACCACUGUCCCCAGGGACGAAAAUGACGGUACCUGGGAGGAAGCUCCGGCUAACUACGUGCCAGCAGCCGCGGUAAUACGUAGGGAGCAAGCGUUGUCCGGAAUUACUGGGUGUAAAGGGAGCGUAGGCGGGGAUGCAAGUUGGGUGUCAAAACUAUCAGCUCAACCGAUAGUCGCACUCAAAACUGCAGCUCUUGAGUGAAGUAGAGGCAGGCGGAAUUCCUAGUGUAGCGGUGAAAUGCGUAGAUAUUAGGAGGAACACCAGUGGCGAAGGCGGCCUGCUGGACGACAACUGACGGUGAGGCGCGAAAGCGUGGGGAGCGAACAGGAUUAGAUACCCCUGUA
rnacentral:rRNA from 1 species